rnacentral:tRNA from 1 species
UGGGGAGUCGUCCAACGGUAGGACUCCAGACUCUGGAUCUGGCUAUCCAGGUUCGAAUCCUGGCUCCCCAG